rnacentral:rRNA from 1 species
AUGCCUAGGAAUCUGCCUGAUAGUGGGGGAUAACGUCCGGAAACGGACGCUAAUACCGCAUACGUCCUACGGGAGAAAGUGGGGGCUCUUCGGACCUCACGCUAUCAGAUGAGCCUAGGUCGGAUUAGCUAGUUGGUGGGGUAAAGGCUCACCAAGGCGACGAUCCGUAACUGGUCUGAGAGGAUGAUCAGUCACACUGGAACUGAGACACGGUCCAGACUCCUACGGGAGGCAGCAGUGGGGAAUAUUGGACAAUGGGCGAAAGCCUGAUCCAGCCAUGCCGCGUGUGUGAAGAAGGUCUUCGGAUUGUAAAGCACUUUAAGUUGGGAGGAAGGGUCGUUACCUAAUACGUGGCGAUUUUGACGUUACCGACAGAAUAAGCACCGGCUAACUCUGUGCCAGCAGCCGCGGUAAUACAGAGGGUGCAAGCGUUAAUCGGAAUUACUGGGCGUAAAGCGCGCGUAGGUGGUUUGUUAAGUUGGAUGUGAAAUCCCCGGGCUCAACCUGGGAACUGCAUCCAAAACUGGCAAGCUAGAGUAGGGCAGAGGGUGGUGGAAUUUCCUGUGUAGCGGUGAAAUGCGUAGAUAUAGGAAGGAACAC